AACGAACGCUGGCGGCAGGCUUAACACAUGCAAGUCGAACGCCCCGCAAGGGGAGUGGCAGACGGGUGAGUAACGCGUGGGAACAGACCCUUUUCUACGGAAUAGCCCUGGGAAACUGGAAUUAAUACCGUAUACGCCCUACGGGGGAAAGAGUUAUCGGGGAAGGAUUGGCCCGCGUUGGAUUAGCUAGUUGGUGGGGUAAAGGCCUACCAAGGCGACGAUCCAUAGCUGGUCUGAGAGGAUGAGCCGCCACAUUGGGACUGCGACACGGCCCACACUCCUACGGGAGGCAGCAGUGGGGAAUAUUGGACGAUGGGCGCAAGCCUGAUCCAGCCAUGCCGCGUGAGUGAUGAAGGCCUUAGGGUUGUAAAGCUCUUUCACCGAUGAAGAUAAUGACGGUAGUCGGAGAAGAAGCCCCGGCUAACUUCGUG
rnacentral:rRNA from 1 species